CGGGGUGCACCAGGCGCGAAAACUUUACAAUGCGGGAAACCGUGAUAAGGGGACACCGAGUGCCAGCAUCAUAUGCUGGCUGUCCGGGUGUGUAAAAUACACCCGUUAGCAAGGGCCGGGCAAGACCGGUGCCAGCCGCCGCGGUAACACCGGCGGCCCGAGUGGUGAUCGUGAUUAUUGGGUCUAAAGGGUCCGUAGCCGGUUUGGUCAGUCCUCCGGGAAAUCUGACGGCUCAACCGUUAGGCUUUCGGGGGAUACUGCCAGGCUUGGAACCGGGAGAGGUAAGAGGUACUACAGGGGUAGGAGUGAAAUCUUGUAAUCCCUGUGAGACCACCUGUGGCGAAGGCGUCUUACCAGAACGGGUUCGACGGUGAGGGACGAAAGCUGGGGGCACGAACCGGAUUAGAUACCCGGGUAGUCCCAGCCGUAAACGAUGCUCGCUAGGUGUCAGGCAUGGCGCGACCGUGUCUGGUGCCGCAGGGAAGCCGUGAAGCGAGCCACCUGGGAAGUACGGCCGCAAGGCUGAAACUUAAAGGAAUUGGCGGGGGAGAAGGGCGAAUUCGCG
rnacentral:rRNA from 1 species